rnacentral:rRNA from 1 species
AGUGAACGCUGGCGGUAGGCCUAACACAUGCAAGUCGAACGGCAGCACAGUAAGAGCUUGCUCUUACGGGUGGCGAGUGGCGGACGGGUGAGGAAUACAUCGGAAUCUACUUUCUCGUGGGGGAUAACGUAGGGAAACUUACGCUAAUACCGCAUACGACCUACGGGUGAAAGCAGGGGAUCUUCGGACCUUGCGCGAUUGAAUGAGCCGAUGUCGGAUUAGCUAGUUGGCGGGGUAAAGGCCCACCAAGGCGACGAUCCGUAGCUGGUCUGAGAGGAUGAUCAGCCACACUGGAACUGAGACACGGUCCAGACUCCUACGGGAGGCAGCAGUGGGGAAUAUUGGACAAUGGGCGCAAGCCUGAUCCAGCCAUACCGCGUGGGUGAAGAAGGCCUUCGGGUUGUAAAGCCCUUUUGUUGGGAAAGAAAAGCAGCAGGUUAAAACCCCGCUGUUCUGACGGUACCCAAAGAAUAAGCACCGGCUAACUUCGUG